CCGGUCUAAAGAGAAUCGGGCCUUCGACUUUGCUCGAGUUAGGUCGAGGUUCUCCUCCUGUCCCUAACAGGGCUGUGGAGGCGCAUAUGGGCAUUGCAGGGCCUCUCCCCCCAUCCGAUCUAAAGAGAACCGGGCCUUCAACUUUGCUCAAGUUAGGGCGAGGUUCUCCUCCUGUCCCUAACAGGGCUGUGGGGGCGCAUAUGGGCGUUGCAGGGCCUCUCCCCCC
rnacentral:lncRNA from 1 species